UACGGAGGGGGCUAGCGUUGUUCGGAAUUACUGGGCGUAAAGCGCGCGUAGGCGGACCUGCAAGUCAGGGGUGAAAGCCCGAGGCUCAACCUCGGAACUGCCUUCGAUACUGCGGGUCUCGAGUCCGGGAGAGGUGAGUGGAAUUCCUAGUGUAGAGGUGAAAUUCGUAGAUAUCAGGAGGAACACCGGUGGCGAAGGCGGUUCUCUGGGCCUUACCUGACGCUGAGGAGCGAAAGCAUGGGGAGCAAACAGG
rnacentral:rRNA from 1 species